UGAGGACACGGGACUGUUUGAGACGUUCAAGAUUCCUGUCAAGGAGUUCAUGAACUAUUUCCAUGCUCUGGAGAACGGAUACAGGGACAUCCCAUACCACAACAGGAUCCAUGCCACUGACGUGCUCCAUGCCGUGUGGUACCUCACCACCCAGGCCGUGCCAGGCUUGCCCAACCUCCUCACAGACCACAGCUCCGACUCUGACUCUGACAGUGGGCUCCUCACCCCCAGCCAUAUAGGCCAUACAGGGUUCCUGGUCUCUAA